GAUGAACGCUGGCGGCGUGCCUAAUACAUGCAAGUCGAGCGAACAGACGAUGAGCUUGCUCCUCUGACGUUAGCGGCGGACGUGUGAGUAACACGUGGAUAACCUACCUAUAAGACUGGGAUAACUUCGGGAAACCGGAGCUAAUACCGGAUAAUAUCUUGAACCGCAUGGUUCCAUAGUGAAAGACGGUUUUGCUGUCACUUAUCGAUGGAUCCGCGCCGCAUUAGCUAGUUGGUAAGGUAACGGCUUACCAAGGCAACGAUGCGUAGCCGACCUGAGAGGGUGAUCGGCCACACUGGAACUGAGACACGGUCCAGACUCCUACGGGAGGCAGCAGUAGGGAAUCUUCCGCAAUGGGCGAAAGCCUGACGGAGCAACGCCGCGUGAGUGAUGAAGGUCUUCGGAUCGUAAAACUCUGUUAUUAGGGAAGAACAAAUGUGUAAGUAAAUAUGCACGUCUUGACGGUACCUAAUCAGAAAGCCACGGCUAACUACGUG
rnacentral:rRNA from 1 species